AAUUGUCUCCUCCAUGGAGGUUAUUUGCUGUUUUGAUGUUUUAGGAUUCUGAGGAAUUUCUUCUGGUUCUUCGUUCCAGAAGAUGACAAUAUGGCCUCUCUCCUCUUCCACUUCGUUUAUCAUGAUUUCCUUUAAUUGCUUGUUCCACGAUGCAGAUUGCAGUGUGUACUUUACUGGUGCCUUAUAGCUUGAUAGAUGAAUCUGUGUUUUUCUGUGUCUAAAAUGAUGAUCAUCAAGUUUCAAGAACAAAAGGCUACAAUUUUUCUUACAGCAGCUGAAGUUUCAGAAGUGAUUCUCUCCUUUCUUUAUUCAAAUUUGAGAUUGGAUAGCCCUAAUCCCCCCCUGCACUUCCCUUCUUAUUUCUAAUACAAAGACUAUCAACACUGAGAAUUUGACAGAAAAUAAAAACAGUCAAAAGAAUUGCUGCAAAUUAUUCCAUAAACAGAUUCCAGGUAGCAUUCAUCUUUGAGACUCCCAAGAUCUUUAACCUGUGUGAUCUUCGACUUCAGAAUCUGGACCGCAUCUUAUCCCACAUUUGAUCUCACAGCGGCGCAUAAGUCUCGUGUUUGAUUGAACGCAGCCGGUGGUACAUGCGUCAUUGCAAUCAGAAGCAUCAGACGCUACGUUCUCAAAAUGAGAAGCGACCAUGCUCACAAUCAACACAGCAACCAAUAUUUUCCUCAUCAUUGUCCUUAGCUCAAUCUCUCUCUCUCUCUCUC